GCAGCGGGUUGAGCCUCUACAAUGGGCUCCUGUGCGGCUUGCCAGCAACAAGCACCGGCUAUUUUGCACAGGGCUCUGCUGACUGAAGUGAUCCCCACGGGCCGAGUGGAGGAGAGGACGCAGAUGAAGCCUCAGAGGGAAGAGGGAUAGCUGCUGAAGAGCUGCACACACACACACACACACACACACACACACACACACACUCAAACACUCGCACAAUGUCCCUCUCAGUCCUGGGUUGUGACCGGCCCAUGGCAUUGGCCAGGUAUGUCAGCUAUGUUUGCCAAGCCAUCCAUCACCCAUGCACCUUCCCUCCUGAAACAGGAACUUUUGUUUGAAGCACACACUUGUUAAACCCAUCCUUUGACUGUGUUCAACCUAAUUUAUUUCCUUAUUGCCUGGGACGGGGGAUUUAUUGGCACCUAUGUUUUGUUCUUUAUUUUUCCUCUUAUUGUGGGCUGCACAGAGCAGAUGUGUUUGGCGGAAACAUGGGCGUGCUGUCACGAAGAGCGAUUGCGAGCUACAGUUUGGGGACGCCGGGGGCCCUUAUCAUCGGUGACCAGGGUUAGCAAAUAAACACACUGUGGUGAAGUCAAGCUGCACAUGCACACGCUGGCCCCCCCCCCCCCGUCCACUUUCCUCACCCUGCGUCGGGCAGACGCAAAAGCACUUUCCUGUCGAUGUACUUGGCCAUAUCUGCGUCUGACCUGUCCGCCAUAUGUAAUAUCAAAGCCUCUGUCAGCGCGGAGCUGAAUGGGAACAAAAGAGAGACCUCCAUUAAUGAUUAACUGUUCUAAAAGCCCCGGCUUUUGUAUUCCCAUGGUGCCCAGGCUAUCUGGCCGCCAUGUGACAUGCUCACAGCAUUUUUCGAGCAGAUUGGGGGAAAGCUAGUGAGCAAACACAGGUGCUUUGGAGCAGCGUUGCCGACGCUGUCAGGGACAACCACAAACAAGAGCAGCUAUGCCUGGCUAAAUGAAUCCCCACCCCUCCCAGCGCCAUCACCAUCGCCUCCUCCGCCACCACCCCCAACCCCUUCUCAGUCACUAGCUAACUUGUUUGCUGGAUCCCAAUGGCGUUCUCCCCGCAAAGCUGACCCUCUGGAGAGUCCAC